GAACGCUGGCGGCGUGCCUAAUACAUGCAAGUCGAACGGUCUUUCUAUGGAAGCUUGCUUCCACUGAGAAGAUAGUGGCGAACGGGUGAGUAACACGUGGGUAACCUGCCCAUAAGAGGGGGAUAACGAUCCGGAAACGGGUGCUAAUACCGCAUAGUUUUCUUGAUCGCAUGAUUGAGAAAGGAAAGACGGCCUUUGUGCUGUCGCUUAUGGAUGGACCCGCGGCGUAUUAGUUAGUUGGUGAGGUAACGGCUCACCAAGACGAUGAUACGUAGCCGACCUGAGAGGGUGAUCGGCCACAUUGGGACUGAGACACGGCCCAAACUCCUACGGGAGGCAGCAGUAGGGAAUCUUCCGCAAUGGACGAAAGUCUGACGGAGCAACGCCGCGUGAGUGAAGAAAGGGUUUUCGGAUCGUAAAACUCUGUUGUCAGAGAAGAACAAGUUGGAGAGUAACUGCUCCAGCCUUGACGGUAUCUGACCAGAAAGCCACGGCUAACUACGUGCCAGCCGCCGC
rnacentral:rRNA from 1 species